ACUGGCACCUGCGUCACUUCCAGACACAGUGUAGGUUCUGUUGGGUGACCUACUGAAGUAGCCUGAGUCACUUCCAGAGGAAGGAUAGCUUAUGCUGGAUGGCAUACUGGAGCCUGAGUCGCUUCCAGACACAGUGUAUGUUCUGUUGGGUGACCUACUGAAGUAGCCUGAGUCACUUCCAGAGGAAGGAUAGCUUAUGCUGGAUGGCAUACUGGAGCCUGGGUCACUUCCAGACACAGUAUAGGUUAUGUUGGGUGACAUGCUGAAGUAGCCUGAGUCACUUCCAGAUGAAGAAUAGCUUAUGCUGGAUGGCAUACUGGAGCCUGAGUCAGACACAGUAUAGGUUCUGUACCUUGGCCCUCCCCAGUGUCCUGGAAUAAAAACAAUGCAUAUAACCUUAUCAGGAGAGAAUCUACUUUUGCUGUUUGUUUAAUACCCCUCACAAGAGUACGUAUGUGAGGUACUUGCAACUGUUUGCUUCUUGUCUUAGUUGCUUAUUUGAAACACAGGAGCCAUAAUUAUUAUAUAUCAAUCUUUAAGAGACAAAGGGCAUUACCAGAAGUAUCUUGCCCUAGGCAGGAUUGUAACGACACAUUGUUCCACGUAUUCUCACAGACAUAUUUUACACACCAUCAUGAUAAUUUCUAGGUGUGUUUUUUAAGCAAGGAAACAAGCUUGUACAGUUGGGAAAAAACUUUAAUUCCUGUGUUAGUUACACCACCCCUUUGUUGUCUGAAAAUUGUCUCUGAAGAUGUCUGUUUGCACUAGAUGUGUUGCUCCAAAGCCAUUCUACUAAAGCGCUGUUGUGUUUGCCUACAGAAGCUGUGCAGCAUGAAGGUGGAUGCUGUCUCUGAACCCAUAUCCAAGUGAGUAUAAUUUCUUGAAAAGCAGACUUACCAUCAGGAGGAGGACCACGAGGCGUACUGGCUCCUUGGGGUUGAAAGAGAAAGGCAGAAGGCCCUGUUCAGAGGAAGGAAAUUUACUUCAGAGCAGGUACAUUUUUAAAAGCAAGGAAAUACAAGAAACUGAAAUGGUUAUGGUUGGAAGGAAAAGCUAUUACAACAAUGUUAAUGGUUUAUAAGAGAAAGAAAGGAAGAACCCUUUGGUUCUUAAAAAAAAAAGAAAGAAAAAAACCCCCCCGCUAUUCAAAAAAAACCAAACCCCCACCCACUCACCACGACCACUCCCCAAAAGCAAAACAAUCCAAGCAACCCAGCAGCUAAACUCAGGGCAAUAUCAAAAUUAUCAAAGCAAAUGAAGGACUCGUUAUAAAAGGAAUCCUCCAGCAGUAAUUUUAAUCUCUGUGUUAGCUUUCAGCAUCCCCUUUCUGUUCUGAAGAGCACCUUCGAAUGUUUCUGUUUGCGCUAACUUUAUUGCUCCAUUAUGGUUCCCAUUAAGUGUUGUUGUAUUUGCCUACAGAAGCUGAGCAGCAGGAAGGGAGUUGCUGGCUAGGAACCCAAAUCCCGGUGAGUACAAUUGCUUGAAAAACAGACUUACCAGCAGGAGGAAGAGGAGAAGGAAGAGGAGCACGAGCUGGAGGUGCACGAAGGGCUUGGGAGGGAAUAGGAAUACAAAUAUACUCCGGUCAGAGACAGCAAAAUUACUUCAGAAGAGGUAAAUGUUUAAAAGCAAGGAAAUGCACAGAACUGAAAUGUUGCAAGACAUGGCGGUUUCUAAAUGUUGGCAGUAGUGUUAUUGCUCCGUUGUGUUUACAAUGAGGACUUGUUGUAUUUGUCUGCAGAAGCUGUGCAGCAUGAAGGGUGAUGCUGGCUCUGAAGCCACAUCCAAAUGACUAUAAUUUCUUGACAAGCAGACUUACCAUCACCAGCAGGAAUAGGACCACGAGGCGAAAUGGGUCCUUGGGGACGCCGGAAGGAAUCUGUUGAGAGACAGUAAAUUAACUUCAGAGAUGAAGCUGUGCAGCAUGAAGGGAGCUGCUGGCUAGGAACCCAGAUCCCAGUGACUACAAUUGCCUAAAAAGCAGACUUACCAGCAGGAGGGAGAGCAGGAAUAGCAGGAGGUGAACCAGCUGCUUCAGAAGCUGAGCAGCAGGAAGGGAGCUGCUGGCUAGGAACCCACAUCCCAGUGACUUGCUUGAAAAGCAGACUUACGAUCUUCACUAGGAGUAAGAGCCUGAACAGCUGUUAUGGGUUGAAAUUGAAACUGCGGAGAGUCCCUUCCUGAUAAUGCGUCAACUUUGGAAGAUGCCAGUGAGUAGAGAUCCACAAAAUUUCUAAGCACGUGCUUUAAAUAAAAGUAGAAGGAAUCAUUAGUGACAGGCAAGCUACGCUUAAAUGCCAAAUAGCACACAUCCAAAUUUUUUACAAAAGACAGAAUUUUUUUCAGCAGAGAAAUCAAAUAGAGUUUGUAAGCCAGGCAGAAUGUCAGUCCCAGGACUAAAACAUCAAAAACAUCUCACACUGGGUUUUGUAUUUUUUCUAAAAUGUUGAAUAUUAAUGUCAUUGAGGAAAAGGGAAUUACUCCACCCCUUAGUUAGAAGAUGCUUUGACGAAAUGUUUUCAAGCAUGCACUACAGCACUGAGCUCUUGAUGCAACUUUUUCAUUUUAUUUCAAUACAAGAUUCACUGCAGGUUCAAUUUCUGUUCACAAAAAAUUACCACAUAGUUUCAGGACAAUGUUCACACUUCCAAGAUUAGUCAAUUUACUAAUCUUUCCACUCCACAGCAAAAAAAAUAACUUGGCAGUAACAAAAGAAACAUCAGAAACCUACAGACCUCUGAAAACAAAUAAUCUGAUUGCACUAUAACUGAAAAAAAGGAAGAGUUUCCAUGUAUGCAGCAGAAGAAUGUCCCAAUUUUGUUAUAUUGAUUGUAUUGAUGAUAAAUUUAGAAGCACAAGAAAGCACAGAUGAUUCGGCAGUGCUGGUAACUUUAUAUCUACCCCAAGUAGUCUCAGCUAACUGUUGAAAUGAUUGAUCUUCUUUACAAUGGUUAAUCACAUUUUAUAUGUUCAGUUUUUGCUUUCAGAUAGUAUGACUUUGGUCUUUUGAAUGUAAACGUGUGAUACAGACAAAAAUCAGCUUAUCAUCACAAACAGGGGUUUGCAAAGAUUUCUGCAGUUUUCCUUUGAUUGGUUUCACAUUGCUGAUUUUCAGAAUAGAUGUUAACACAGCUAAAAUCAAUAGGUUGUUUCAUUGUAGUGUCUAGGAAACAGAAGUGGCAAAUUAACCAAUAUCACAUCUUUUCUCAUCAGAAAGAAUCUCCAAAAACAUCCUGGUGCUGUGGUUCUAGUCCUAAAAGAGGAUUCUUGCAGAUUAUAAGGCUUUUAAUUGAAAUGUGCUCAUCACCUUAGGCUAACUAAGGCAGUUCUAGAGGAUGUGCCUGCAAAGAACUCCACUGCUUUUAAUGACAAGUGUCCCUAAAGUCAUUCCUAACUGCUUACCUUACUCAAGAUUGCAGGAUUGCCCUUAAUACAGUUUGGCACAGAGUAAAACUAAAAUCCAUUAGGUGACCUCAGUCCAUAAAGGGCAAAUUGUGUAAUAAAACCCCAAUAAGGAGCUUGGAAAGGAAUCAAACAGGAAAUUGAAAUGAGGGCUGAGGAGAGAGAGAGGGAAAAGGGGAAAACAGAGAUGGGGAAAGGGAGAAAGAGGAAAAAGUACAGAGAAAAGGAAGUUCACAGUGACACAGUCUGUGAGCCAUUGGUGCUGUUUGUCCUGAUUUACCAAGUGCACCUGAGGCUGCCAGGUGAACAAGAACUUUGCAAUUCUGCCCCACCAGCAAGCUCCCCAGCACAUGCUGUACUAUGUUAUUUAUACCACAAACACUUUGUGCAAAUAUGAAAUGCAACUUUUUGUGUUUAUGAUUCUCUUCUGAAGAGAAAGAGAGAAUAGGCUGCAGAUGCUUCUGCUAUCAUUGUGAGGUCAAAAAAAAGGGAGUUGGGAUAAAUGGGGCUAAAAAAAAAGUAAAAAAAGAAGCAUCAUUCACUACCAAAUGAGAAAAGCAGGAUUUAAAAGCUGGAGAUUGCCACAAUGCCUUCUGUGGAAAGAUGCCACCUGUGGGACCUUUUGUGCAGCUCUAAAAUGGAUCAUCACUGUACUGGGGAAACAUUUGUAAUUCUACCCUUUGAUGGAUAAGCUCAUCUGUGCUAAUUAAGUUUCAUGGGAAUCUCAAGGCAUUACAUAUUCCAUAUUUCCAUAUUUUAGUGUGGAAACACGAUAAUGCACACAUAAUUUAUAUCUUUAUCAUACUGAAAUAUAUGUAUGCAUGCAAGAGGGCAACAGUGAAAAACUUCCAGUUUAGAACCUGCCUUUCUUGAAUGUUGAUUCUGUGACCCUGAUCCUGCAAUUAUAUACUGCAUUAGAACAGAAAAAAAUCUACAAUAAGUGGAAAGGAAUUACUGCAGAAACUCACACACUGUAUGCAAUACUUACUCUGCCUAAGUUUCCUUGCACUUGACUUGAUUACCUGCUCUCUCACUGAUUCAGACAGAGAAGCACAAUAAAAGAAAUAUGUACUCACUCUGCCUUUUGUUCUCUCAUUGGGAAAAAACCAUCAGUCUUGGCACUAAUAGAUUCUGCACAGUUAUAAAAACUAAUAAGUUUCUGUAGAAGACGUCAAAUUUAGAAACAAUAAGGAGGCAUUGUACUGAAUCUAUGUUCAGAGCUGAAAAUAUGGCACAUUUCCUGUUAAUUUCCCUUUAUUCCCACUCAUUGUUUUGUCCUAAAAAAAAUAGUAUUUUGAAAUGUGCAAGUCUUAAACCUACAUGAGCAAAAUAGCUUCUAUAUUUAAACAUUCUAAAUAGCAGUUUCUUUUAAAUGAGGAAUGCUCAAAAGCCCACAAUUGAUUCUAGAACUGUGGGUUGAAAAAAGUCUGAUACUGACCAAGAAGGAAUAGGAAAAUCUUGUCUUCUUUGUCUUGUUGGUUUUGUUUGUUUGUGGGGACUUUAAUUGGUUUUGGUUUUGUUUGUGGUUUUUUGGGUUUUUUAAAAUUAGUCUUGUGCAUAUUAAUGGGAAAAAAAGGGAGGGGGGUAGAGAGAUAUUAAUUUUCAGGUAUAUUUACUUCUGUCCGUGUUUGUAUUCCCAUCAGUUAGUUAACACUGUAACUGCAAAAUUAAAAGUUACCAUCAUCUCUGAAAUACCACGUGCAAUACAUGAAAUUGUCUUUCAUCCAUUGACUGCAAUAGUUUUGAAGCUUUUUGCUCUCCACAUGCUCAGAGCAGUCUAUCUGCCUGUUGUAGCUCAGAUGCAAAAAAUGAAAGAGAAUUUUAAAAAAAUUAAAGAGGAUUUGUUUUAGCCUCUAACCUGGAAUGA